AGUGAUCGCUGGCGGUAGGCCUAACACAUGCAAGUCGAACGGCAGCACAGUAAGAGCUUGCUCUUACGGGUGGCGAGUGGCGGACGGGUGAGGAAUACAUCGGAAUCUACUUUUUCGUGGGGGAUAACGUAGGGAAACUUACGCUAAUACCGCAUACGACCUACGGGUGAAAGCAGGGGAUCUUCGGACCUUGCGCGAUUGAAUGAGCCGAUGUCGGAUUAGCUAGUUGGCGGGGUAAAGGCCCACCAAGGCGACGAUCCGUAGCUGGUCUGAGAGGAUGAUCAGCCACACUGGAACUGAGACACGGUCCAGACUCCUACGGGAGGCAGCAGUGGGGAAUAUUGGACAAUGGGCGCAAGCCUGAUCCAGCCAUACCGCGUGGGUGAAGAAGGCCUUCGGGUUGUAAAGCCCUUUUGUUGGGAAAGAAAAGCAGCGGGUUAAUACCCCGCUGUUCUGACGGUACCCAAAGAAUAAGCACCGGCUAACUUCGUG
rnacentral:rRNA from 1 species